CUUGAGCGACCAGGGAGAAAGACAAACAACACAAAACACAAUGCUAUCAUUUCUGUAAAGAAAAUAAGACACAAAACAAAAUCUUAUUAGUUGCUGUGAAGAAAAUAGACUGAGAAGGGCUGACUGUAUCUCCUCCUCCUCCUCCUCCCAAUCUCCUCCUCACUUUGUGAUCACAGCCUCUCCAUUUCCAUCUUUGAAAAUCAUUCCGUGGGGCUGGGACAGAGAUAAAAAAAAAAACAUUACCUAAACCCGUAUUUGUUUCUGUGCAGUUCCUCUUGGCGUUUCUCUCCUCUCUCCUGAUCCCUUUGUUUUUCCUUCUCUUUGCUCUGAUACCCUUUUCUCCCCCAUUGUACCUGAGCAGUGGGUUCUAGGACAGCAAGAUCCACCCCUCCCUCCCUGUCAUCUGUGUGGGAUGUCAUAAGGAAGCAGGGAUCUCCCUGUGUUCCAUCUGAUUUACCUGGAUACAGUUGCUUAAAUAUCCUCCUUUUUGGGGGGAUUGACUUCUGCAGAUGAAAAAGGAGAGAAACUAAACAAGGCAGCGCGGUGAACGCUGGGAAUUUUAUAUUGUCUAUUUUUUUGUAUUAUUAUUUUUUUAAUUAUCCAAUUUCUGGAAAACUCUCUGGCUUUUCAGAGGAUUUAUUGAUGCUGGUUGGAGAAGACAUGAUCCCUGUUUUGAUGUCCUAGGACGGGGGAAGCUAUAAGGCAAAGAUGAAGAGUUUGCAGUGUGCUGGUCUCUUAUUGCUCUCUGUUGUACUGGAG